GUGUCUUUCUUGUGUUCUUCCGGCCUCUGGCUUGAUGUUCUGGUUGUGAUCCCUAUAUGUGGACUGCCUUUAUUCUUAGUUGGAUGUUUGAUUGGGACCGUGUAUGCCCCUGGCCUUUCACGGUGUUUGCAUGGGUCUUUUCGUUACGUAGGCUAUUAAAGAGGGUUAGUGCACUCCUUGUCACCACUCUUCUUCCCGUUUUCUGUGCAACCUCUUUUAUGACAUUUAACCUACUCGUAUGAUAGGGUACUGGCAAGUAUCUGUUCUCUUGAGAAUAGCGACGAGGAGAGCGCCAACCCUCUUUAAUAGCUUACAUAGAGAAAAAGAUCCACGCAAAUACUGUGAAAGGCUGAGGGUAUACACGGUCCUAAUUGGGUAUCCAACUGAGAAUAAAAAAGCAGCCUACAUGGGGGUUACAGCUGGAACGUUGGGCCGGAGGUUGGGGGAACACAACAGGGAUGUUGCGGCAGG
rnacentral:lncRNA from 1 species